rnacentral:lncRNA from 1 species
UGGCCCUGGCCCUUGCACAUGCAAUUCCUUGGAUCUGAAAUGCUGUCCAAGCCCAUUCUUGCUCACCCCUCACCCCUCAAGAAUCUCUGGAAAGCUGGGGCUUCGUACCACCACGAGUUUCUGCUGAUUCCAGGGCCUGGGCACACAGAUGCUUCUCUGGGAGGCAGGAGGCCCCUGGAGAGCAGGACAUGGUUGCCUCAAUGCAGAACCACUUCUGAUUUCUGGUGGGCCUCGGCUCUGCAAGAGUUGGACACUCUCCUGGCUCUGGGACAUGCAUCUUCUGGACCUUCUCCUGCUUUGCAGUGCAUGUCAGCUUCCGUGGCUGUCACGUCCCUUAGAGCAGAGAUCUUGCUCUCACCGCUGCAGAAGGUGACCCUCCAAAGGAGGCCUGUGCAGGAGCCUGCAGGAGGCAGAAAGUUCCACCCGCAUCCAGGAGCAUAA